rnacentral:rRNA from 1 species
GUAAGGAAUAUUGGUCAAUGGACGCAAGUCUGAACCAGCCAUGCCGCGUGAAGGAUGAAGGUCCUCUGGAUUGUAAACUUCUUUUAUCUGGGACGAAAAAAGGGUUUUCUAACUCGACUGACGGUACCAGAUGAAUAAGCACCGGCUAACUCCGUGCCAGCAGCCGCGGUAAUACGGAGGGUGCAAGCGUUAUCCGGAUUCACUGGGUUCAAAGGGUGCGCAGGCGGAUAUGUAUGUCAGUGGUGAAAUCUCUGGGCUUAACCCUGAAACUGGCGUUGAUACUAUAUAGCUUGAAUGCCGUGGAGGUAAGCGGAAUAUGUCAGGUAGCGGUGAAAUGCUGAGAUAUGACAUAGAACACCUAUUGCGAAGGCAGCUUACUUCGCGGUGAUUGACGCUCAUGCACGAAAGCGUAGGGAUCAAACAGGAUUAGAAACCCCAGUAGUCC